rnacentral:lncRNA from 1 species
UUUUGCUUUCGCUGUAAAGCCUUUUUGAAAUCGGACAGUGUGGUUAGAUAAAGGAGAGUCUUGUCUUUAAAAUGGUGUAAAAUAGUCACGUGUUUGAAAAAUGGACGUUUUCGGAUUUUCGAGGACUUUGUAUUUCGCGCCACGCCCAUCAUUGGAUAUUGGAGCAGGUGUUCCGCUAGCGGAACGUCUAGAUGUAAGAGGUUAAUAUGGGCACAUUUUUUCCAAAAUUGUCAAUACUGCCCCCUAUCCCUAAAGGGCUGUAAGGGGUUGACUCCAUCUAAUCCAGAAGUUCUGUGCGUCGAUGAAUCCACGUACGUCCACCGAAUCUGUUACCUUUCAUCUGAACUAUCUGUUGCGAUCGGGAGAGCGGGCCAUCAGUUAUUGUUUAUAGUUAAUACCGCAGAGCGCGGCUUGGAGCGCACGCUUCAAACCUAUUAUGUAAUGUAAAUGGUCAAUGAUCACGGCCCUACAGAUCAUCACAGGCCAAUUAUGCCAUCGAUAUAUGGUUAAUAUGGAAUGAAAUUACAUGUACAUACGAAGACAAACUUGAAAGGGUGAAAUAUGAAAUGUCAUUGUUUGCUGAACUGAUCAAUUCUGAUAUCAAACUAAUGGGGAUUAUAGAUUGAAUAACCGAUCACUGAUUGAAUUAUUUGUAUUAUUCUUCUCAUGAUUAUGAUGAAUAGUUACGAGCCUAAAUGACUCAAGGAUGGUUCCUUACUGAACUGAAUUUCUGAAUUACCUCAUUAUGUUAAUAAUGAAUGAUUGUUAUGAUUUGAUCUUUGAUUAUGAAUUUGAUUGGAUACAUGUUAUUCUGUUUCCUUUGUUAUGAAUUUGAUUGGAUACAUGUUAUUCUGUUUCCUUUGUUAUGCAGCACAGACUUCCUUUAUGAUUAAAGGAAUUCCUGCCUCAGUCUCAUCCAUUCCUCUGUCACCUGACCCGUGACCACCUGUUCACCUUCACUGUCAGUCAUCCUACCUGUCCAGCUACCCACACAGAUUCCACUAAUCUUCAAUGGUCCUUCGAGCCGGAUGAAGACUGAACCAAAGACAGGUGAAAAGGAAAGGGAGGAGAGGGAAGAAUUGGUUCUCUUAAGGAUUGUGUGGUGGCGUUUCCCACAUCAACGGGCAAGCCCACCAGAGCUCAAAGUGGCGAUGGAUCAACUGUACGUUUCAGCCAUCAACCAUCCCCUCUGAGCCAAGGACCAGAAACUGCUUUGGGAUGGGAAAGUGGUCUACAGGAAGAACCCAUGGAGGAGGUAACUCCCACAGCACAGGUCAACCAGCUUCCUGAGGCAGGCUCCGCUCACCCCUUAAGUAAUGGGAAAUCAUCACUCUACAUGGAGUGAGAGUUCGACCAGUGGAUACCCCUUUGGAAGUGGCCAUGGCAGCCGCCAUUCACUAGCCCUCAGUGAUUCACAGACCGCUGUCCUACGAGAGAGGAUGAAACUACUAGCGUUGGAGGAAAUUGAGCGUCAGAUUGAGGAGGAACGACAGGCUGAUGAACAGUGUCACCUAUUGGAUGUGCAGGCCCGUAGAGCGCUACAGGAACGGGAAUUCAUUGCCAAGGAGCUGGCACAGCAGCGACGGCACCGUCAAGCCAGCAGGGAAUUGGAGGAGGCACGGAUGGUCUCAUCCUUCCUGGAGAGGAACAAACAGCCAACAUGGAGCACGGGGGACAAGCCACUCCACCAAUGCCCUCUAUGCCAAUGACACAAGUCAGCAUUCCUCCUCCAUCUAGACAAAGCACCACUCCUUCGCCUUUCCGCCAAUUACCAACCACGGCAAAUCGUUCCUCUCAUCCAGGGCCUGGGCCAGGCCAGUCAUCAACCAUCAGGUGGGAGGGCUCUCAACCAAUUCAGGCUGCCACCAAUGGAGGGUCUGGGACAGUAGUGGACAGGCCCAAUGAGGCCACAGUGAGCUCAUCAGCAUUCCCGGGUUUAUCCUUCACGCAACCAGAAGAGUGACCUAACAUCAUGAAACUGCCUAUGGAAUUCCCAGACCCAAACUGCCAUACUUUGACAGCGGAAAGGAGAGUGAUUUUGUCCUUUUGGAAAUGGCAUUGGAGAGCCUACUGGGUAUUCACAGUCAUCUGUCAGAACGCUACAAAUACCAAGUACUGAUGGAUCACUUGCGGUUUCCCAGUGCAUACAAGCUGGCCAAAUCCUUUAUGCCCUCCGCAACACCAUACACUGCUGCUCUCCAGGCCCUGAAAGCGAGAUAUGGUGAGCCACGCCAGCUAGUCCAGAAUGAACUAAACUACAUCCUGAACACGUCUCCAAUCAAAAUGGGAGACCAUGCUGCUGUAACCGAUGUGAAAUGGCUAGCUAGUUAGCGGGGUGCACACUAGUAAAUGGUCAUUCUCCCCUGUCAUCAGUGAUGCUCUCCUGAGACUCUCUCCAGUGUUUCUCUCCAGUGAACAGAGGGACAGGAUAUAGUUUAUAACCCAGCCCUAGCCCGUGGUUGACCAAUUAGAAUUCCUUGCAAUAAAACUCUAUCCUAUUUCAGGUUGGACCAGUGAGAACGUGCUACACCAUAAGUUCAGGACUGACAUUCCUAACAGAUGUUGAACUAAAAACCAACUAUUUCCAUUGAUAAUUCCCUAUUACAGAAAAAACACUAUUUCCAUUAAUCGUUAUUACUCUAUGUCUCUGUUAUGUGUAUUUAUCUUCGAAAUAUUCUUAUACUAUUAUGAUGCUAAUUCUUUAGUGGGCUGAAAGAGCGGGCAAUUCUUAGGUUGUAUCUACCUCGGUCAAAUACACAUUUGCUGUAACAUUUGCUAAUACAAAGGGUAUUAUACACAGCAGGCCUACCUGAAUAAAAUGUCAAAACAUGGGUUGUGACUUAUUUGUAUGGUAUCCUUUGUGACUGUGAAAAAAAACAGGACAAGUACAGGCUUCUGCUGUUUCAAUAUUAGAACAAACAGUCUGAGAGAAAUAAAGAUAAUGUUGGUCAACACUGUACACACACAGUUGGGGG